CGCACCUCAUUUACAUCUCCUUUCUUUCGUAACAGUUUCUGAAUCUUCUCUUCUCUUCCCCUCAUAAACAAAAAACCUAGAUCUGAAACCAAUUUUGAUUCCUUCUUCUUCUUAUACCGCAAAACAGUUUUGUGAACUCAAUAACAAGAAAGCCAACCUUAAUUGAAAUAAAAUUAGGUUUAAGUUUUUCAUUUUGAUUUUGACGUAAAUCAAAAAAUGGUGAAGAAGCAAGAGAAAAAGAAAGAUGAAAAGAUGAAGAAAAAUCUUAAGAAAACGGUCAAACUAUCUCCAAAAGGUAAAUCGAAACCUAAUUUUGUUUUACUAUUCUUCGUUGUUUCAUUGUUCUUCUGUGAUGGUUGAAAAUCAACAUGCAUGUUUAACCUGUGAUUUUUGGUUUCACAAAUUUUAGUUUCGUCACCGAUUUUGCAUAAAAUAGCUUUCAUCAGUGGUUUCAUAAUUAGGUUUCUGUUAGUGUCAUAAUUAGGUUUCAUUCCCUUCAAUAUUGUUACUUUCGUAAUUGAUUUUCUGUUAGUUUCAUAAUCGAUUUUCAUCAAUGGUUUCUUUGAUGAAACCAAAAUUGGUUUUCAUCAUUUUCAUAUAUGAUUCACUUUACUGUGUUGGUGAUUUUCAUCAAUGGUUUCUUCGGUGAAACCAAAAUUGGUAUCAUCAUUUUCAUCUAUGAUUCGCUUUACUGUGUUGGUGAUUUUCAUCAAUGGUUUCUUCGGUGAAACCAAAAUUGGUAUCAUCAUUUUCAUCUAUGAUUCGCUUUACUGUGUCGGUGAUUUUCAUCAUUGGUUUCUUCGAUGAAACCAAAAUUUACAUCAAUGGUUUUUUUUUUGUGGAACCCAAAAUUGGUUUCAUCAUUUUCAUAUGUGAUCGCUUAACUUUGUUGGUGAUUUUGUUCAAUGGUUUUGUAGAUGCAACCAAAAUUAGUUUUAUCAUUUUUGUUUUAUUAUUCGCUUAUGGUUUACUUUUGGUUUCACAACAAGGAAAAAAAGAGAAACAGAGCCGUAUAGGUGUUGUUGCAUUAUUUGUGUGCGCUAGCACCUGAGAUAAAAGCUUUGAUACACAACAAAAAACUGAAUAUGAAGGCUCUGGUUUCAUGUCCAUUUUGGUGUUUCUUCAAGUCGCUCUAUGAUGGUAUAUCCAAUUAAGAGUCGUAUGCUGGAAGCUGCUGCAAAUGAAACCAAGGCUGAUGACUUCGUCAAGUUAUUCUUUUUCUACCUUUUGGUUUGUGUAUUCGUCCCCAACAAAGGUGGGUAAACUCUAGCUGCAAAGUACUUGUACUUGGUAUUUGAGAUGAAUAAGGUGUGUUGGCCGGACGUGUUUCAUGAGUAUCUAAUUGAGUUUCAUGAGUAUCUAAUUGAGUGGAUAAUAACAUCCAAAGACGUUGAAAAUGUAGUGGGUUGCAUCAUUUAGCUGCUGUAUUAGUUGGCAGAGAUGUCUUACAUCGCAGAACAAAAGGAUGGGACAUGUAUCCAAGGUUUACUAGAUGGAACCUUGGUGGAAUAUGCUACCAAAUAUUGGAUAAAUUCGAGGAUCUUAGAGAACACCCAGGAAUUUAAUUAAAGAUGAAUAUCGGUCGCUGCAAGGGUUCAUUCAUGCUGACAAACAAGAAAUGCGCUUGGUCGAGCGCAUAGAAUAAAAAGAUAUUGUUGUUGAAGAAGUGUCGGUUGGUGAUGUUGAAAAUGUUGGUCGUGGCAGUGAAGUGCCUGGACAAAAAUGAAGUCAAUGUUGGUGCUGGCAGUGAACUGCGUGGACAAAAUGAAGACAAUGUUGGUGUUAUCGGUGAAGUGAACUCUUAUAAAGACAACUAUCAAUGGGCACAAAAUCUGAUUGAAAAGCUUAGGACCACUGGUAAAAAAUGUGCUUUCUGAAGAAGAAGAAUCAUCGCUGGAAAUAAUACUCGCAUGUGGUGCCCAAUUUAUUAAUUUUUUACAGUUUUUCUUGCAGAUUCAGUUUUACUUGAAGAUAAUCUUUGACAUCAUAAAAGAUAAUGUUUGCUAAGAAGAAUCAUUGCUGGCAAUAAUACUCGUAGUAGCUACUGUGUGUAAAAUGGUUAUCUACUGAUUGUAAUGGUGACAAAUUACAGUUUAUAUAAAAAGAUAUCAGUUGUAGUCCCCUAAA